GCGCUCCCCAGUCGCUCUGUGAAGAGGUGGGGCAGAAAUCACGGUCUGAUCAGCCCUGCACACGCUAGCUGUGCUCAGGGCCCUGGGUAUCUUCUCAGCUCCAUUCCUGCAAUGGCCCGCUGCUAUGAGGAUUCACAACUGCAAUGAAUCAAAGCAACUUAAGUACAGUUUGGCUCAAGAAGUCUUGAAAAUACUCACCUCUUUCCCCUCCUCCCACAUCUCACCAGACCUUUGAGGUCACUAGGAACUGCUGAUUUGUUUGGGUCUCUUCUUACCUGAACUAAGUCAGAAAAUCUCUGUUGUUGGGGGUGCAUAGCAUCACUACCAAUAUAUUCACUCAUAAUAAGUAAACUAUUCUCUUUCAUGUAAUUUUAUUGAUGACAAAAGUUGAUAGUAUAAUAUUGGUGUUAAUUCUAUUAGUAUGAUACUACAUUACCAGCAGAGUGUAUAUGACCUAUGUGAAUCAAUGCAUCUUCAUUGUGCCACCUAUUAUAUUCUGAAAAUAUUUCACUAAAAUGUCUAUAUAUUUGUGUGACUAUCUAGCUGUCUGUCCCUAGAGAGGGUCUUAUGUAUUCACUGUGUACAUGAGGAGGACCUAGAACUUUUGAUCCUCCUGCCUCAUCUCCCAAUUGGUGUCAGGAUUAUAGGCAUGCACUACCAUAGUCAGUGCAUGUGUUUGCUGAGGAGCAAGCCUAGGGCUCCUUAAGGAAGCACUCUACCCACUGAGCCACAUCCUCAGUCAGAGUGUUUGAUAAUUAUCCAAAAAUGUUAUGAUAUUAUUGAGCAAAGGUAGACAUAGUCUAUAUGGCAAUUGUGGUGGUUUCAGGGAGUGGCACUAUUAGAAGGUAUGACCUUGUUAGAGGAAGUGUGUCACUGUGAGCAUGGGCUUUAAGACCCUCACCCUAGCUGCCUGAAAGUCAGUCUUCUCAUAGAAGCCUUCUGAUGAAGAUGUAGAAUUCUCAGCUCUACCUGUACCAUGUCUGCCUGGUUGCUGUCAUGUUCCCGCCUUGAUGAUAAUGGACUGAACCUCUAAAUCUGUAACCCAGGCCCAACUAAAUGUUGCCUUUUUCAUGGUGUCUCUUUACAACAGUAAAACCCUAAGACAGCAAUGUUUAUAAAAAUAAUGCUUUAAGUGCAUUAAAAAUUAUAAAGAAUUGCUUUUAAAUAAAGUUAUUUUUUAAUUAUUAAAUAUUUUAUACACUGUUUAAAAAGUAUUGUUUAAGUGGUAAUCUUAAACCAGAGGACAUGCUCAGAACAUGACUUUUUCAUUUAAGUCUUUCUCAAUAUUUGAUUGAAAUAAUCCUGAAAUUAGUGUAUCAAUAACAAAUUAUAUAUAGAAACAUUGCAGCUGUUCAUGUGUCUAAAAUAGGAUCUGUUUCUUAUCAGGAAGGUAGAUGCUUUGUUUGUUCUGGUUCUCAGGAGACUUAAGCUACCACACACAGUGAUGCCAUCUGAUUGCUCCUACAUAGUACCAUAUCAGUACCAAGGGAAAACCACACUUAACC
rnacentral:lncRNA from 1 species